rnacentral:misc_RNA from 1 species
GAUGAAGAACGCAGCGAAAUGCGAUAAGUAAUGUGAAUUGCAGAAUUCAGUGAGUCAUCGAAUCUUUGAACGCACAUUGCGCCCGGUAGUAUUCUGCCGGGCAUGCCUGUUCGAGCGUCAUUUCAACCAUCAAGCCCCAGCGCUUGUGUUGGGGGCCUGCGGCUGCCGCAGCCCCCCAAAAGCAGUGGCGGGCUCGCUAUCACACCGAGUGCAGUAGUUCAUCUUCUCUCCGGUCUUGUGAGGCGGGUUCCGGCCGUGAAACACCCCACUACAUUCAAGGUUGACCUCGGAUCAGGUAGGAAUACCCGCUGAACUUAAGCAUAUCAAUAAGCGGAGGA